rnacentral:rRNA from 1 species
UACGGAGGGAGCUAGCGUUGUUCGGAAUUACUGGGCGUAAAGCGCACGUAGGCGGCUUUGUAAGUUAGAGGUGAAAGCCCGGGGCUCAACCCCGGAAUUGCCUUUAAGACUGCAUCGCUUGAAUCCGGGAGAGGUGAGUGGAAUUCCGAGUGUAGAGGUGAAAUUCGUAGAUAUUCGGAGGAACACCAGUGGCGAAGGCGGCUCACUGGCUCGGUACUGACGCUGAGGUGCGAAAGCGUGGGGAGCAAACAGG